UUUUCCUUAGUCAGCUGCUCUCGUGGCUUCUGAAUGGCAAAAUGACUGGCCAAGAUCCGUUUGACCGUUUCCAUGCAACCUUGGACUGAUUAGGUGGCUGCCAACUCAUUUAAUGAGAACGGCGUCGUUUUGGCCACGAACCCCAUUCGAUCCCCAGUGAAGGCUUUUCAGUUUUCUCUUUUUUUGAUUUCUCUCAUCGUAGAAAACGCUGACGUUUUGUAUAGCGCCCAAACACCCUUCGAUUCCCA
rnacentral:lncRNA from 1 species